rnacentral:pre_miRNA from 1 species
UUUUUAAUAUAAGUGUGUCCCAUGCAAUGUUUGUCACAUUUUUGUGCUAAAA